CCUACGGGAGGCAGCAGUGGGGAAUAUUGGACAAUGGGCGAAAGCCUGAUCCAGCAAUGCCGCGUGUGUGAAGAAGGCCUUCGGGUUGUAAAGCACUUUCAGUGGGGAAGAAAGCCUUGGGGCUAAUACCCUCGAGGAAGGACAUUACCCACAGAAGAAGCACCGGCUAACUCCGUGCCAGCAGCCGCGGUAAUACGGAGGGUGCGAGCGUUAAUCGGAAUUACUGGGCGUAAAGCGCGCGUAGGCGGUCUGAUAAGCCGGUUGUGAAAGCCCCGGGCUCAACCUGGGAACGGCAUCCGGAACUGUCAGGCUAGAGUGCAGGAGAGGAAGGUAGAAUUCCCGGUGUAGCGGUGAAAUGCGUAGAGAUCGGGAGGAAUACCAGUGGCGAAGGCGGCCUUCUGGACUGACACUGACGCUGAGGUGCGAAAGCGUGGGUAGCAAACAGGAUUAGAUACCCCAGUAGUC
rnacentral:rRNA from 1 species